rnacentral:rRNA from 1 species
GCGUUAUCCGGAUUUAUUGGGUUUAAAGGGUGCGUAGGCGGCACGCCAAGUCAGCGGUGAAAUUUUCGGGCUCAACCCGGACUGUGCCGUUGAAACUGGCGAGCUAGAGUGCACAAGAGGCAGGCGGAAUGCGUGGUGUAGCGGUGAAAUGCAUAGAUAUCACGCAGAACCCCGAUUGCGAAGGCAGCCUGCUAGGGUGCGACAGACGCUGAGGCACGAAAGCGUGGGUAUCGAACAGGAUUAGAUACCCUGGUAGUCCACGCAGUAAACGAUGAAUACUAACUGUUUGCGAUACAAUGUAAGCGGUACAGCGAAAGCGUUAAGUAUUCCACCUGGGGAGUACGCCGGCAACGGUGAAACUCAAAGGAAUCGACGGGGGCCCGCACAAGCGGAGGAACAUGUGGUUUAAUUCGAUGAUACGCGAGGAACCUUACCCGGGCUCAAACGCAGGGGGAAUAUAUAUGAAAGUAUAUAGCUAGCAAUAGUCACCUGCGAGGUGCUGCAUGGUUGUCGUCAGCUCGUGCCGUGAGGUGUCGGCUUAAGUGCCAUAACGAGCGCAACCCCUAUCGACAGUUACUAACGGGUCAAGCCGAGGACUCUGUCGAGACUGCCGGCGCAAGCCGCGAGGAAGGUGGGGAUGACGUCAAAUCAGCACGGCCCUUACGUCCGGGGCGACACACGUGUUACAAUGGCAGGUACAGAAGGCAGCCAGUCAGCAAUGACGCGCGAAUCCCGAAAACCUGUCUCAGUUCGGAUUGGAGUCUGCAACCCGACUCCAUGAAGCUGGAUUCGCUAGUAAUCGCGCAUCAGCCAUGGCGCGGUGAAUACGUUCCCGGGCCUUGUACACACCGCCCGUCAAGCCAUGGAAGCCGGGAGUACCUGAAGCAUGCAACCGCAAGGAGCGUACGAAGGUAAU